UUUAUUCCUGUCUCAUGCCCUAGGAGGUGGGAAACAGCAAUUGCUAGUGUAGAAGAAACCUAGUCUUAAAAAUCAGAUUCUUUCCAUGUGGAUUUCAGUCCUGAGGAUCAGCUGGGGACUCCUUUGACAGACAUUGAACAUGGAAAAAGAGCCUUGAUAUUUACUUGUUCCACAACGAUCUCCAUAAUGCAUAAGAGAGACACAGCGAGAGAGGGAACACAAACAGGCGGAGUGGGAGAGGGAGAAGCA